rnacentral:rRNA from 1 species
GCGAAUACCGGAGAAUGUUAUCACGGGAGACACACGGCGGGUGCUAACGUCCGUCGUGAAGAGGGAAACAACCCAGACCGCCAGCUAAGGUCCCAAAGUCAUGGUUAAGUGGGAAACGAUGUGGGAAGGCCCAGACAGCCAGGAUGUUGGCUUAGAAGCAGCCAUCAUUUAAAGAAAGCGUAAUAGCUCACUGGUCGAGUCGGCCUGCGCGGAAGAUGUAACGGGGCUAAACCAUGCACCGAAGCUGCGGCAGCGACACUCAGGUGUUGUUGGGUAGGGGAGCGUUCUGUAAGCCUGUGAAGGUGGCCUGUGAGGGUUGCUGGAGGUAUCAGAAGUGCGAAUGCUGACAUAAGUAACGAUAAAGCGGGUGAAAAGCCCGCUCGCCGGAAGACCAAGGGUUCCUGUCCAACGUUAAUCGGGGCAGGGUGAGUCGACCCCUAAGGCGAGGCCGAAAGGCGUAGUCGAUGGGAAACGGGUUAAUAUUCCCGUACUUGGUGUUACUGCGAAGGGGGGACGGAGAAGGCUAUGUUGGCCGGGCGACGGUUGUCCCGGUUUAAGCGUGUAGGUGUGUGUUCCAGGUAAAUCCGGUUCACUUUA